ACCCCCACCCCCACCCUGCCACAGCUUCGGGACGACUGGAUCGCCGCGCCUGGGCCGGAGCGAGCCAUCUGCGGGCACUAUGCAAAGCGGGAGACGGCGCGAGCGGCGCCCGGCUCACACUAGCUCUUCCAGGACGCAGAGAGAACCAUUCUCUGCUUUCAAUAGGACAGAAGAGCUCCUUGGCACUGGAUGCCUCCGGGUCUGGUUGAGAGAGGAAUGGUUAGGAGACUGUUCUGAGGAUACGCAGACAUCAUCCAAAGCUUCCUACAUUCAGAUGAGGACAGAGGUUGGGCCAGAGCUUUGUAAGCUUGUUACCUAAGGAUGGUUCUGACCAUGUAAGCAGAUCACAGAAGCUGGAGGCAAAGGAUGCCAAGAUGGGAAAGCCACAUAAUGGAAGGAUCCUGGAUUUCAGAGCUGUCACUUGGAGGAGGGGCACCCAGUGAAGGUGUCUUAUCUAACCCACACCAUAUCUUCAUGAAGUGGCCAUAUGGAUUUGAUCCCUAUCCUUCAGAGGUGCUCAGCCUAAGGGAACACGGAUAGUAGAUUAAGCACUGACCAGGUGAAAAAGAUUGAUCAUCAGAUGUUUCUUAUGUAUCAACCUGAUAUUUAAAUCCAUGAAGGACAGAGACGACAAAGGCAGGUGGAAUAGAUAGAGAAGAGAUUCAAGGUCUGAGCUCUACAUUACUCAAACUGUUAGAGAUUAGGAAGAAGAGGAAGACCUGGCAAAAGAAUGUCCUGGGAUGUAGAAAGAAAACCAGAAGCUUGUGUUCUCUGGAAACCAAAUGAAGAAAGGGCUUCCAGAAGGACAGACAAAGUGUAGUGUGUCAAAGGCUCCUGAGCAAUCAGAGGAGAGCACAAAGGGGCUCACAGGACUUUGGUAUCUGGAUCACCCAGUGACACUUCCUGAUCACGAGAAACUGUCAGACCAACAGGGGCACUUUCUGAAACCAGCAGUUCUUCAGUGCCCAAAUGCAACCUUGAUGGUUUGAUUUUGGAGGAUGGCAAUUCAUUAACAGCACUCCCCAGUGAUAAAUAUGAAAACCAAUAAAACCCCCCACCCAAGGCAAUCUCUCCCAGCUCCUCGCUUUGAGUAAAGUGAGUAACCUCCAUUUCUGCCAACUCCUGUCUUGUCUGAAGCCACAUUUCCCCAGCAAUGUCACAUAUGCAUUUCUUGAUCCUGGUCAUUUCUCCUCUUGGGAGAUGAAUCAUAAAGAAAAUGAGAUCUGUGUGCCCUGGUGACUAUGGAUGCAAGAGUCUGCUGCCCUGGAGGGAACAGCUGGAAAAGUAGAUGGUGAAGACGUGUGGGGGGGAAACAGUGGAGAAGGCAUCUUUGCAGGGGAUCAAGGUGACAGAGUGAUUAGUUACACUGUUUUGACAUGUGAGAACAGGGGGUUAUAAAAAUGGAUACAGGAAGAGGGAGAGAAAGUAAGGACCAAAACAUGAAGCCAGUCAUGAAUGUUUUUACAUAAAAAGCAGCAGAUUUACGGCAAAUAUGUGAUGUUUCCACAUUUUCUGCCUCUAGUUAGCAGGGGCAGCACAAAGAGCAUUACUGUGGAGCUGAACUUUGGGUAAAAGAUUAACAGCCAGUCCUUUCUCUCCAGUGUCUGCUUCCUUCUGGGCUUGCCCUGGGGGAAAAGGAGGGCUGGCAUGGAUAUGCCUGCAGCCCUCACCCUAGAUGUUCUUCCACGCCUCUCUGUUCAUUCAUUGCUUAGUCAUUCCUCAGGCAUGGAUUGAGACCACUGUGUGCCCAGGACCGACCUGGCCUAGGAUGGACAUAGAGAUGGAAAAGGCACAGGGAGCAGGUGACAGAGACAAAUCAAGGUCAUGGAGAAUAGCAGAGUAAGAUAGAAGAUGAAGGCAGGAGAUGGGGUUCUUGAGAAAGCGAGAGCAGGACUGACCCGUGUCUGCCUCACCUGUUAUUGCUGUAGCCUCUUCUCCUUGGAGUAUCCCUCCUGCUCUUGCAUCACCUUAGGAACUUGGAUCAGAGAGGAAAGUUACGGCCUGGAUAUGUUGUAGUAGGAGGGGACAAACAUGUUUGGAGACAGAAAUGCUUGGGGAGCGGGUGUUUUUGGGGGAUGAGACUUUCCAGGUCUCUCAAUUCACACUAUGUAGGUAGUUCACUGCACAGCUUAAAUAAGAGACAACUCUCCGGAGUGGUUGGCUCUCAUCCAAAAAAUGUGUUUUGGGCCUCAGAUUUCCAACGGAAGGGCUGAAGCGUGACUGGCCUGAUGUCAACUACUGAAGUCCACCUGCCCCUGCCCUAUCAGGUGUGGAAAUGCUGGGGUUCCUCUCUCAGAACCUACUUCCUGAGAUGUCGAAAUAUACCCAAGAGUAUUUCUGGGCCUUCUCCAAUCCGAAACUGUUUAGUUUUUGUGUGUGUGUGCCUACUUGGCCACACUAGAAGACAGAGGUGGCCUGGGUGAAAUGCAGGUUUCUAGAGGCUCUCUGACAAAGCUCAGGCCACCAGCCCCAGGCCAGCCUGUGGGUAGUCCUGGCUGACAGUCACUUCAUACCUCACCUGGGCUUUUUGCCAAAUUCAAAGUGUGUGUAUAUGUGGAGUGCUGGGUUCCCACCACUGACAGUCUGUAAGUCAUUCACUUAGCUCAAUUUGUCUUACUUUCUUCUGAAAUUUCUUCCUUCUUGUUCUUUUUCCCAGGAGAAACCAGGAGAAGGCAGUCCUAGGGCAGUCUCCGGGCCAGCUUUCCCUAAUAAGAAGGCAGAGCUCCUCUUCACCCAGACUUCAGACCUAUAGAGGCAGCCUGGGGUCCCGGGAUGCCCUUGCACUCAGAGAUGUCCCCAGAGUCCUAGGGAAAUGGAGGAUAACUAGGAGGAAGCUGUUCAUGGCUGGCGAUGAGGUCUAUACCUUCUUGUCCGUCUCAGUGCUGUCUGCUAUUGAAUUUUUGUGCAGAUCACAUUAACUUAAAGCCAGUUCUCAAGAAGCUCCCCCUGCCGCCGGCAUAUCCACCAGUUGCUCCCCUUUCCUGCCAUUAAUCAGGGUCUGCUAGUUAGAGAACAAAUUCCUAUUUGUCCAAACAGUUGCCAACACCCCCACCCCAAGGUAGUUAAAUGAGGAUGAAUGGGUCAUUCUUAUUAAAAAAUGACUUAAAUUUCUCAAAUUCUAUUUAUGUUUCUUUUACAUCCCAAUUUUCUAUAGAUUUAGUGACUCCAAAUGAUAAGGUCUCAAGCUCAUAAUAAUUUAUCCCUUGGGUAACACACAAGGCUUGGUGGUAUUUCAGUAAUAUUCAUGACAACAGCAGCUGUCGUGCUAAUAAGGACUGAUGUCACCAGAGCACUUUCUAUGUGCCAAGCAUGGUGCACAACACUUUACAUACAUUAUGUCAUUUAAUUUUCACAAAACCUCACAGAGGUAAAUAUUAUUAUCUUCCUCUGCAUAUAAGGAAAUGAAUGUUCGGAAAGAUUAAGUCAACUCACUGAGGUCCCAUCAGUGCUCUUUCAUAUGCCUCUGUUGCAGUCUCAUUGAACUGCUGAAAUCAGAAAAACCUGGAGACCUUGUUAACCUUCAGAUUCCUGGGCCCCAUCUUAGAUGCAGGGAGUCAGACUUCCUGGGAGUGUGGCCCUGGAAUUUUCAUUUGUAAACACAUUCCCCAAGAGACCUGUAUGCACACUAAAGUGGGAGAAUUCACGAUCUCUGGCUUUUGUGAUGUUUUAAACGCACUAUAUAAUUUCAGUAGCAAAAGAAUUGGGCUUUGGGAAGGGAGUGUGUGGUGAACCCUGAAAGCUGAAUGGACUUCCUUCCUGUGGAGGAGCAGUGGGAGAAACUGGAGGCAGAGAGCUGUGUUUCAUUCCUUGAUUGAGCCUUUGUGAGUUAUUUAAUCUCUUUCAGUCUCUAUUUUUUUCAUUUGUAAACCAGGAAGGAUACUUGUAUUUUCCAGGUGGUUGUGAGGUGUGAAAGAGAUGAGAGUAGAACAAAAUUUUAAAAGUUGAAAGCACUCAACAAAUGUAUUUGGUAUUAAUCAUGGGUUUCCCUGGGGCCGAGGAAGCCACCAGCCACCGCAGGCCUGUACACAAUGCCAGCCACCAUGUAUGGAUACGGAGGAGGCAAAAGGACUAGCGAACACUCCCAGGGACUGGAUGUCUUGAAUAUCUGUCCAACUUUCUUGGGAGGGGCCAUUUCUUCUGUAACUCAAAGGAAUUUAUUAUUUUUCAGCCAGGGAGGCAUGCUUUCUAUCUACUGCUAGUACUCCCAGACCAAGCUGUUUCAGUGGGACUGAGGUGUGACUUCUGCCUCGGUUUCAUCCAUCUGUGCAGGGAAGAGAAAAAUGCCUGCACCUCCACGGUCACACCCUCUGUUGGAACCACCUCCUUAAGCCAGAAUUAUUGAAUGUUCUCUAUGUGCCAGAAUUAUUAUUAUCUCAUUUGAUUCUCACAACAAUGCCAUGAAGUCUAUACAGACAUACCUUGGAAAUACAGCGGGUUUGGUUCCAGACCACCGCAAUAAAGCUAAUACCGCAAUAAAAUGGGUCACACGAAUUUUUUGGAUUAGGCUUCGGCUUAAGGGAAUGUUGUGGCUGGUUUGAUGUUUUAUCCAGACCGCUAACACUUUCUCCCUAUCAGCAAUGAGGCUGUUUUGCUUUCUUAUCAUUCCUGUGUUCACUGGAGUAGCACUUUUAAUUUCCUUCAAGAACUUUUCCUUUGCAUUCAUAACUUGGCUAACUGUUUGGCACAAGAGGCCUGCCUAGCUUUUGGCCUAUCUAAGCUUUUGACUUGCCUUCCUCACUGAGCUUAAUCAUCUCUAGCCUUGGAUUUAACGUGGAAAAUGUGUGACCCUUCCUUUCACUUGAACACUUGGAAGCUAUUGUAGGGUUAUUAACUGGCCUAAUUCAAUAUUAUUGUGUCUCAGGGAACAGGGAGGCCCAGAGAGAGAGAGACGGGAAAACAGAAAGUCAGUGGGGCAGGCAGAACACACACGUUUAUUUAUUAAGUUUGCUGUCAUAUGUUGGUGCAGUUCAUGCUGCCCCAAAACAAUUACAAUAACAAGAUCAAAGAUUCCUGGUCAUAGAUUGCCAUAACAGAUACAGUAAUCACGAAAAAGUUUGAGAUAUUGUGAGAAUUACGCAGAUAUUGUGAGAAAUAUGACCCAGAGACAAGAAGCGAGCACAUGCCGUUAGAAAAAUGGCACCAACAGACUUGCUUGCUGCAGGGUUACACAUACCUUCAAUUUGUAAAAAAAAAAAACUGUAAUAUCUGCAAAACGCAAUAAAGAAAAGUGUAAUAAAAUGCAGUCUGCCUGAACUUCAAUUAUUCCCAUUUUAUAGAAGAGGAAAUAGAUGCAGGGAGUUUGAUCUGCCUGAACUAGUAAAUGGUAGAACUCUGGGACUAACAUUCCUAUCCUCUAUGCUACAUUCCUAGGAAAGAACGCUCAGACAGGGUUGGACUGAGAGUGUGUUAAGCUUUGCACUGUUUUGAGCCCUCUGAAGGAGUGUCCGUAUUUGAAAGCUGGCCUCCUUCCUUUCACUGGCCCUCCACAGUGUGGCCUAAGUUAUUCAAUUAGGAAGGGAAAUAAUUGGCAGUGGAGAAUGCCUCUAGCAGUGGUAAUUACCUCCAGUGCCUUGUAGGAAUAGUCAAGCUACAUUUCAGUUUAUGCUGUAAAACCUUAAUUAUAAUAUAAACAGCUGCCCUUCAGCCCAGUGGGGCAGCCUUCCCCCGCCUUCCUUCUCUGGCCUCUGAAUGGCCCUGCCUCCUGAAUGGUCAGGGAGGUCCAGGGACGGAAGGAGACCUGGGAGGAGGGGAGCCGAUGACUAUGCGUGCGUUGGGGUUUGGAAGACUAAGCUGGAGGGAGCCACUGCCAGGGUCCCAUCUUCAAGUGAUGAAGCCAAAGGCAGCAUCCCCAUUCUUGGUACCACUCACACUGAGUCUCUUGGGGGAGCAGCCUCCAGCCAUUAGCAGUCAGCCCAGUGCCAUUAGGCUAGGAUAGGGUUUAGCAGGCUAUGGUAUCAUUUCAGGGUAACAUCUCUUUCUAUUUACUCCCCUAUAAGGGAGAACAGAGUCUUCCCUUCUAGAUCCAGACUUCCUGGCCAUGUAGGAGCCCUGUUGAGUGCCUGGUGCACUCUAGGUAGUAUGCGAGGCAUGGUUGCAAGGGUUCCCCAUUUCAACUUCACAGCACUUGGAUACACAGAAAAUUAACAUCCUCAUUUGACUAUUGAGGAAAAUGAGACUUUGAAAGUUUAAACGGAGAUAAGGCUUGGGAGGCAGACAGCCCUGUAAGUGACUUAAGUUCAGGAAGGAGAAGGACACUCAAUAUUUUUGUUCAGAGCACUGGGAAGGAGAGAGAGGGAUCAGUCACCAUCGGGCAUUUGAGAAGGUCCAGGAACAGGGGGCUGGUGAGCAGAGGGGGGAAUAACACCAGAGGGGCUGAAAUUGCUGAUUGCUGGGUUCACAGAUCUACCCACGAGCGGCCCAGGUACCCCAUGAGCGGCUGCUCUGUGUCAUCUGACCACUGGAUUGUAACCUGGGCUGAAAGAAUCAGAAGUCAGUGUGGCGAGGCAGGAGUCCUCAGAUGGUCAGAGCUGACUCUUCAACUCUUAAGGGCAAAAUGGAAAAUGUGAGCUUGUUGGUGGUCUUCGAAACACAGUAAGCAAUCCAUGCCCCUGAAGAGCAGGGAUAAUUAUAGGCAUGCCCUUGUUUUAUUGUGCUUUGCAGAUAUUGCAUGUUUUUACAAAUUGAAGAUUUAUGGCAACUCUGCAUACAGCAAAUCUAUUGAUGCCAUCUUUUUCCAAUAUCACAUGCUCACUCUGUGUCUCUGUCUCACAUUUUGGUAGUUCUCCCAAUAUUUCACACCUUAUUAUUAUUAUUAUAUCUGUUAUGAUGAUCUGUGGUCAGGGAUCUUUGAGGUUACUAUUGUAGUUGUUUUGAGGUGCCAUGAACUGCACCCAUGUAAGACAGCGAACAUAAUCAAUAAAUGUUGUGUGUUCUGACUGCUCCACCAACCGACUGUUUCCCUGUCUCUUUCUCUCUCCUCUGGCUCCCUAUUCCCUGAGGCACAAUCAUAUUGAAAUUAGGCCAAAUAAUAACCCUACAAUGGCUUCUAAAGGUUCAAGUAAAAGGAAGAGUCACAUCUCUUACUCUAAAUCAAAAGCUAGAAAUGAUUAAGCUUAGUGAGGAAGGCAUGUGGAAAGCUGAGA
rnacentral:lncRNA from 10 species